UACAGAGGGUGCGAGCGUUGUCCGGAAUCACUGGGCGUAAAGGGCGCGUAGGCGGCUCAGUAAGGUUGCGGUGAAAGCCCGGGGCUCAACCCCGGGUCGGCCGUGGCAACUGCUGGGCUGGAGCACUGUAGAGGCAGGUGGAAUUCCGGGUGUAGCGGUGGAAUGCGUAGAGAUCCGGAAGAACACCGGUGGCGAAGGCGGCCUGCUGGGCAGUAGCUGACGCUGAGGCGCGACAGCGUGGGGAGCAAACAGGAUUAGAUACCCUGGUAGUCCACGCCGUAAACGAUGGGCACUAGGUGCUUGGGGGAGCGACCCUCCGAGUGCCGGCGCUAACGCAUUAAGUGCCCCGCCUGGGGAGUACGGCCGCAAGGCUGAA
rnacentral:rRNA from 1 species